rnacentral:rRNA from 1 species
GGGAAACAACCCAGACCGCCAGCUAAGGUCCCAAAGUCAUAGUUAAGUGGGAAACGAUGUGGGAAGGCCCAGACAGCCAGGAUGUUGGCUUAGAAGCAGCCAUCAUUUAAAGAAAGCGUAAUAGCUCACUGGUCGAGUCGGCCUGCGCGGAAGAUGUAACGGGGCUAAACUAUGCACCGAAGCUGCGGCAGCGACACUAUGUGUUGUUGGGUAGGGGAGCGUUCUGUAAGCCUGUGAAGGUGUGUCGUGAGGCAUGCUGGAGGUAUCAGAAGUGCGAAUGCUGACAUAAGUAACGAUAAAGCGGGUGAAAAGCCCGCUCGCCGGAAGACCAAGGGUUCCUGUCCAACGUUAAUCGGGGCAGGGUGAGUCGACCCCUAAGGCGAGGCCGAAAGGCGUAGUCGAUGGGAAACGGGUUAAUAUUCCCGUACUUGGUGUUACUGCGAAGGGGGGACGGAGAAGGCUAUGUUGGCCGGGCGACGGUUGUCCCGGUUUAAGCGUGUAGGUGUGUGUUCCAGGUAAAUCCGGUU